rnacentral:tmRNA from 1 species
GCACUACCUUCCUCAACCUUCUGGACCUAUAUUCCGGGGUGCCGGCGCAAGCCGGCUAUGGCGAUAAACGUGCGUCGGAAUAAACCUUUCGGACCCGGGGGCAGUACCCGGCGCCUCCACCCGAGCCCAGAACCAGCCUGAGAUGGGGCUGGGUUCCGGCGGGGGCGAAAUAGGAUCGACGAGGGCGUAAAGGACGUGCUUUUGCCCGUUGUGGCUCCGUCGUUAUCGGGCCAAAUCAUAGUUGCCAACGACAACUAUGCUCCGGUUGCUCAGGCCGCGUAAUGCGGUUUGAAAGACCGAUCCAAGUCCUGACGGGUUAAGCUCCGUCAGGCGGGGUCCGGAGGCACCUGGCAACAGAAGCCUCCACU